rnacentral:rRNA from 1 species
AAUAUUGGACAAUGGGCGAAAGCCUGAUCCAGCCAUGGCGCGUGUGUGAAGAAGGUCAUCGGAGANUGAAGCACUUUCAGUUGGGGNGAAGAGUUGUAGGCUAAUACCUUGCAAGUGUGACGGUACCAACAGAAUAAGCACCGGCUAACUGCUUGCCAGCAGCCGCGGUAAUACGAAGGGUGCAAGCGUUAAUCGGAAUUACUGGGCGUAAAGCGCGCGUAGGUGGUUCGUUAAGUUGGAAGUGAAAGCCCCGGGCUUAACCUGGGAAUUGCUUUCAAAACUGACGAGCUAGAGUACGGUAGAGGGUAGUGGAAUUUCCUGUGUAGCGGUGAAAUGCGUAGGUAUAGGAAGGAACAUCAGUGGCGAAGGCGACUACCUGGACUGAUACUGACACUGAGGUGCGAAAGCGUGGGGAGCAAACAGG